rnacentral:tRNA from 1 species
GGGGAUGUACCUCAGCUGGAGUGCUUGCCUGGUAUACAUGAAACCCUGGGUUCAAUCCCCAGCAUGCUUU